AUUGAACGCUGGCGGCAGGCCUAACACAUGCAAGUCGAGCGAGCGGCGGACGGGUGAGUAAUGUCUGGGGAACUGCCUGAUGGAGGGGGAUAACUACUGGAAACGGUAGCUAAUACCGCAUACUAUCAGAUGUGCCCAUAUGGGAUUAGCUAGUAGGUGGGGUAACGGCUCCCCUCGUCUACGAUCUCUAGCUGGUCUGAGAGGAUGACCAGCAACACUGGGACUGAGACACGGCCCAGACUCCUACGGGAGGCAGCAGUGGGGAAUAUUGCACAAUGGGCGCAAGCCUGAUGCAGCCAUGCCGCGUGUAUGAAGAAGGCCUUCGGGUUGUAAAGUACUUUCAGCGGGGAGGCGUUACCCGCAGAAGAAGCACCGGAGAAAGAAGGGCCAGCAGCCGCGGUAAUUC
rnacentral:rRNA from 1 species